rnacentral:misc_RNA from 1 species
AUCUUCUUCCACUCUCUUCCCUGCAAAUGCUCUCAGUUGAUUGACUCACCAAUCAUGAUGGGAAAUUCCAAGCUGCAGUUCUUGCUUCUUCAUCUUGCAUUUUCUUUGUGCAUAUUUAUUAGCUGUCUGAGCUUUGGGGACGCAGGGAUCACCAGUACAUUUAUUCGAUCAGAGUGGCCAUCCAUUGAUAUACCUCUUGAUAAUGAAGUUUUUGCUAUUCCAAAAGGUUACAAUGCCCCCCAACAGGUGCAUAUCACCCAGGGUGACUAUGA